rnacentral:lncRNA from 1 species
ACAUGGAUUUUGUCUCAAAUCCUCGCGCUUUUGGUAUAUAUAUUUGUCAACUUCAUAUCUCUAUUUUCUGCUGUUCGAAAAAAUCUGCUUUCGUCAACCUCAACUUAUUAUUCGAGUAGAAAAUCUGUCUGCAACCUUUGAAAAGAAGCAAAUUAGUCAUCAACCUUUCGUUAUAGUCGUCCAACAAAAAGUUUGUUAUCUUAAUACUUACUUAUCUAGUUAUGGUUAUAAGUAAACAUCUCAUCAAAUUAACAACUAACUUAUUUAGAAAAUAUCCUUUACUAUAAAGUAGAAAAAAGUAAUAACAGUGUAUAUCGAACAUGAUCUUAUUUAUUAAGUCAAAUCCCACAUUGAUUAAAGAUGAAAACAUAGAUCAAUUUAUAGGGUUUGGAUCACUCAUCUUAAUGAAGUUUACCCUUUAAAGAUUGAACCUCAAGUUUUAAUAUAGUAUCAAAGUUCAUUAAAUUUCAACGAGCAAUUCGAUCUGAAUAAGACUCAAAAAAAUGAGCCACCAUCUUGAUAAAAUCCCACAUUGAUUAAAUAUGAAAACAUAGACCAAUUUAUAAACCCUUAUAAUUCAAUAAUAAUGCCAACAAUUUUGAAUUAUGUGGCAUGCAGGAUUUACAACAUCAAAGAUAGCUUGUUGCGGACAAGGACCUUAUAACGGCAUAGGCCUUUGCACACCUUUAUCAAAUUUGUGCCCAAAUAGAGAUGAAUAUGUGUUUUGGGACCCUUUUCAUCCAUCUGAGAGGGCUAAUAGACUCAUUGUAGAACAGAUCUUGACAGGUACAAACACUUAUAUGCACCCCAUGAACCUCAGUACUAUCAUGGCUUUGGAUUCAAGCAGGGCAUGAUCUUGCCCUACAAACUAAUAAACAUUUGGUAGCAUAAAAUCUUUGCUCCCAAAUGUGACCUAAAUUUUUUUCAGUUUCUUGAUAUUGUAACUGUAUUUUCAAAGCAUUGUUGAAGUUUCUUGAUAGUCGCGUGUCUGUAUUUCGUAAUGAGUGCACUAAGUGUGUGUGUUUGUCAUAGAGUAUACAUAAUGAUACAAGAAAUGACCAUAUGUUAACAAGUAGAAGUGGUGCAAACCAAAAUUAAGCUAAGGGGAGGACGACUUAGGUAGUUGAGACAUAAUUUGCAUAAAAUUGAAUAAAAAAGGAGAAAGCCCUCCAAUCCGAAACCCUUCUUGGUCCACACACCUCCUAUCCUCGGUUUUCAUGCCAAAUCCCGACGAACUUGUCUCUCUUUGGAUGGUUCCAUGUGUUGGCUAAUUGAAUCCACAAUUGCAAUGCACUAAACAAAAAUCGAAUUUAUGUAGUCGGCGUCAAAUGUGUCGGAAUAAUACUUAGCUUCUUGUUGUUGUUGUGUCACCCUACUCACUCACAAACACGCACACACACACUCUUGAGUUUUAAUGUGCAUACUUCUCGAGAGUUAUAGUUGUUAUACAUGUAUUGAAUAAAUGCAGAGACUGUAUAGUCUUGGAGCUCGAAGGGUUUUAGUGACAGGCACAGGACCAUUAGGAUGUGUGCCAGCAGAAUUGGCAAUUCACAGUACGAGAGGGGAAUGUGCAGAGGAAUUGCAACUUGCUGCAUCUCUUUUCAAUCCACAAUUGGUUCAGAUGAUUGAUCAACUCAACACCCAAAUAGGCCACACUGCCUUCAUUGCAGCCAACACCAAUCAAAUGAACAUGGAUUUUGUCUCAAAUCCUCGCGCUUUUGGUAUAUAUAUUUGUCAACUUCAUAUCUCUAUUUUCUGCUGUACGAAAAAAUCUGCUUUCGUCAACCUCAACUUAUUAUUCGAGUAGAAAAUCUGUCUGCAACCUUUGAAAAGAAGCAAAUUAGUCAUCAACCUUUCGUUAUAGUCGUCCAACAAAAAGUUUGUUAUCUUAAUACUUACUUAUCUAGUUAUGGUUAUAAG